CCAGGGUUACAUAGCUGAUGAAUAGCAGAGUCAAGACUCAAAGCCACCCAGCUCACCCAAGUCUUGUCCUCUCCUCUUCUGACAUCAUGUCCUUUACUACUCGUUCCACCACCUUCUCCAGCAAUUACCAGUCCCUGGGCUCAGUCCAGGCGCCCAGCUACAGUGUCUGGCCUGCUAGCAGCGCAGCCAGCGUCUAUGCAGGCGCUGGGGGCUUGGGCUCCCAGAUCUCCAUGUCCCACUCCACCAGCUUCCGAGGUGGCUGGGGGUCCGGGGGCCUGGCCAUGGGGAUGGCUGGGGGGUUGGCGGGAAUAGGGGGCAUCCAGACUGAGAAGGAGACCAUGCAAGAACUGACCGACUGCCUGGCCUCCUACCUGGACAGAGUGAGGAACCGGGAGACUGAUAAUGGGAGGCUGAAGAGCAAAAUCCGGGAACACCUGGAGGAGAAGGGGCCCCAGGUCAGAGACUGGGUGCAUUACUUCAAGACCAUCGAGGACCUGAGGGCUCAGAUCUUUGCCAAUUCUGUGGACAAUGCUCGCAUUGUUCUGCAGAUUGACAAUGCCCAUCUUGCUGCUGAUGACUUUAGAGUCAAGUAUGAGACAGAACUGGCCAUGCACCAGUCUGUGGAGAGUGACAUCCAUGGGCUCUGCAAGGUCAUUGAUGACACCAAUAUCACUCGACUGCAGCUGGAGUCAGAGAUCGAGGCUCUCAACGAGGAGCUGCUCUUCAUGAAGAAGAACCACGAGGAGGAAGUAAAAGUCCUACAUGCCCAGAUUGCCAGCUCUGGGUUGACUGUGGAGGUAGAUGCUCCCAUCCCAGGACCUGAGCAAGAUCAUGGCAGACGUGUGGGCCCAGUAUGAUGAGCUGCCUCAGAAGAACCAAGAAGAGCUGGCCAAGACCUGAUCCCAGCAGACUGAGGAGAGCACCUCAGUGGUCACCUCACAGUUUGCUGAGGUUGGAGCUGCUAAGACAAUGCUCACGGAGCUGACGUGCACAGUCCAGUCCUUGGAGAUUGAACUGGACUCCAUGAGAAAUCAGAAAUCCAGGUUGGAGGACAGCCUGAGGGAGGUGGAGGCCCGCUACGCCAUGCAGAUGGAGCAACUCAAUGGGGUCCUGCUGCAUUUGGAGUCAGAGCUGGCACAGACCCGGGUAGAGGGGCAGUGCCAGGCCCAGGAGUAUGAGGCACUGCUGAACAUCAAGGUCAAGCUAGAGGCUGAGAUCGCCACCUACCGCUGUCUGCUGGAAGAUGGGGAGGACUUCAACCUUGGUGAUGCCCUAGACAACAGCAACUCCAUGCAAACCAUCCAUAAGACCACAACCCACAGGAUAGUGGACGGCAAAGUGGUGUCUGAGACCAACGACACCAAAGUUCUGAGACACUGAGGCAGUAGAGCAGCAUGUCCUUAUACCAAUAAAGAGUUCAGAGGU